GUGAGGUUAUUAUUUAAGAUGCUUCGACAGAAAAUUAUUAUAGACUACAAAUUAAUGAUAAUGAAAAAAAACUUCAUCUUAUGUACAUUUAUUUCAAUAUGGUAGCUUGUAUAGGUCUAACAAAUCGUUCACAAUACUCCAAUAAGCGCUUACUUUUAAAGUGUUUUUUUUUUAUUCGGCUACAUUUAACGCGGUUUAUCUUUUUUUAUUUUCUGUGGUAUAACUACAAUCUUCAUUUUUUAAGUGUUUGUUGGACAUUUAUUAAAACAAACGUUUGUUUGGGUUUUUUUUCACAGACAGAGCAACAAUAUUCCGUUCAACUUGAAUGUAAGGAGAUUGUAUGUUGCCCAUAUUUUUUAUAGUAUGGUCUCCACUCCUACCAUAGACAAGCCCACAAACAAACCUACAGAAAAACGAAACUGUAUACAUGCAGUUGGCAUGCACAUAAACGUGAUUGAUUUUUUUUUAUAAAAACAACCGACAACGUAAACAGUGCACAUUCAUAAGUCUAUUCAACUUAUUAUUUUCUUCUAUUUUUUUUGUGGGUGGGGGGGGGGGGGAUAGACGAUCACGUAAAGAUAUUGUAUAUUUCUUCGGAAAAACAUAAGUCAAAGUAUCGAUAUUGUGUUUAUUUAUGUAGAAUAAUUGAAAUGUGUACCGUAUUUUGUCUACUUUGUCAGUCGAGGCAAAUAGGAAAUUGCAUAAUAUUAUAAAAUAUCCUAAUUUAAGACAUUAUUAUGAAACCUCAUAAUAUU
rnacentral:lncRNA from 1 species